UGGGGGGGUGUCAGUGGGGUUUAACAGCAAGGAGUGAUGGUGGAGUUGAUGGUGCUGGGGAGACGUUGUUGGGGUGACACUGGGGUUGUAUGGUGAUAUUAAGCUGUGACAAUGGGGGCUGAUGACAUUGGGGUGACACUGGGGUUGUAUGGUGACAUUAAGCUGUGACAAUAGGGACUGAUGACAUUGGGGUGACACUGGGGGUGUAAAUGGGGUUGUAUGGUGACAUUAAGCUGUGACAAUGGGGGCUGAUGAUGUUGGGGUGACACUGGGGGUGUCAAUGGGGUUGUAUGGUGAUAUUAAGCAGUGACAAUGGGGGCUGAUGAUGUUGGGGUGACACUGGGGUUGUAUGGUGAUAUUAAGCUGCGACAAUGGGGGCUGGUGAUGUUGGGGUGACAAUGGGGGUGACAAUGGGGUUGUAUGGUGAUAUUAAGCAGUGACAAUGGGGGCUGGUGAUGUUGGGGUGACACUGGGGUUGUAUGGUGAUAUUAAGCUGCGACAGUGGGGGCUGAUGACUUUGGGGUGACACUGGGGGUGUCAAUGGGGUUGUGGCGACAUUAAGCUGUGACAAUGGGGGCUGGUGAUGUUGGGGUGACAAUGGGGUUGUAUGGUGACAUUAAGCUGCGACAAUGGGGGCUGAUGACUUUGGGGUGACACUGGGGGUGACACUGGGGUUGUAUGGUGACAUUAAGCUGUGACAAUGGGGGCUGAUGACAUUGGGGUGACACUGGGGGUGUAAAUGGGGUUGUAUGGUGACAUUAAGCUGUGACAAUGGGGGCUGAUGACAUUGGGGUGACACUGGGGUGAUGCUGGGUAUCUCUGGGGGGUGACAUCAGGGAGUGACAAUAGAUAGUGAUAUUGUUGUUUGCUGGUGUUGUUGGGGUGAUGCUGUGCCAGUGGCUGCCGUCCCGCUGUGUCUCCAUCCCUAUUUCAGGUGUUGCUGUGGAUGCACCCCCCGACUCUGCCAUCUCGAACCCCAUAGAGCCGCACAAGACCCCAUAGAGCCUCAUGGUGCCCCAUACGAUGACUUCAGCCCUAUAACUCGGGCUCUGCAAACCCCUUUUGGGGCACAACAGCUCCAGACGUGGUGCCGGAACCGGGCCGGCAUGCUCACCAGGAAGCGCGACCCGUCGGACGCCUCCACCUCGUGCAGGUUGUUCCCGGGGCUGCUCAGAACCUGCAGCGGGACGGCGGCAGCUUCUGCGCCCGGAUUGGCUGCUCGUGCCGCGCGCUGCCCGGAGGGGGCGGAGCAACGCUUUGAUUGGCUAUGCGUGCCACGCGCUCUGCGUGAGGGGCGGGGCGUCUCUCUGAUUGGCUGUACGUGCCGUGCGUGCCGUGCGUGAGGCCCUGCUCGGCAAGAUGGCGGCGGAGCGGACGGAGGCGGCGGGUUCGGGCCCGGGGGACUACGCGAGUUGGGGCCCCGCCGAGCUGCGGCACGGGCUGGGCAGCAUCGGGGCGGCAGCGCACGGGAGCCGGGAGGAGCUGCUGGAACGGCUGCAGAGCUACACCGUGCAGGUCGGGACAAGGAACGGGACUGCGGGGACUGCGGGGACAGCGGGGAACAUUGGGGC